rfam:Picea glauca, whole genome shotgun sequence.
UAAUAUGUGCAUGCCUACAAUGUUAAUGCACCCGAUCACAUUAGAACUCCAUAGUUAAGAACCCUUGGGCUAGAGUAGUACUGGGAUGGGUGACCGUCGAAGAAGUCCUAGUGUUUUAC